rnacentral:tRNA from 1 species
CAAAUUAAAGCUUUAUGCAUUUUUAUUUACACUAAAAGAAAUUAUUUAUUAUAUAAUUUGA